AAACAAACUCCAAUCUGAAUUAAAGGCAUGAGAUGGAGUUUUACCAUACUGCCAACUAAUCACUCAGUCAUGCCUGUGUAAGGAAGCCCUGUGAAGAAGUCCACACUCAGGAGAAGAAAAGACAGCCCGAAGAGCCAGUCUUCACAGUCUCUCUACAUAGCCUGUGUAAUCUGCACUGAAAAGAAACAAAAUCAUGGAGUCCCGCAUUUUGCACAGAUGAGACAGAGUCUCUAUGAGAGGGAAAAGAUGGGACAUGGUGGUGCACAAGAUGCUUCAGUGAUACCAACCUGACUUCCUUGGGCAGAGGACAUCACCAAUGUGUCCUGGAGCCCCGCCUCCCCAGAGCUCUUCCCCACUAGGGGAAAACAAAGAUAGGCUGGGAGUAUGGAUCAAUCUGUCAAUGCCCAUGUCCAGCAGAGAAGCAAUUAUAGAUGCCAGACCGUCCAGCUUCUACACCCCACAAUGGUCCUGGGUCCAUGCUCCCAGAGGGAUAAAGAAUAGGAAAGCUUCCAAUGGAGGGGAUGGGAUACGGAACUCUGGUGGUGAGAACUGAGUGCAACUAUAGCCCUCUUAUCCUACAGUCCUGUUGAUGAUUAUUAAAUCAAU